UACGUAGGGAGCAAGCGUUGUCCGGAAUCAUUGGGCGUAAAGCGCGCGUAGGUGGCCCCGUAAGUCCGCUGUGAAAGCCCUUGGCUCAACUGAGGAAGUGCAUCCGAAACUGGCGGGCUAGAGUAUGUAAGAGGGUCGCGGAAUUCCCGGUGUAGAGGUGAAAUUCGUAGAUAUCGGGAGGAACACCGGUGGCGAAGGCGGCGACCUGGGACAAUACUGACGCUGAGGUGCGAAAGCGUGGGGAGCAAACAGG
rnacentral:rRNA from 1 species